AUCCAUCUGAUAAGUCCUAAAUUGGACGAAAGGCGCUUCAUGGAU
rnacentral:hammerhead_ribozyme from 1 species